AUCACAAUAUUUGGACCGUCGGUCUACCGAGCAUAUAUCACCCGCUCGGUGGAAGAUCUUCCCAUUGACGUUUAAG
rnacentral:pre_miRNA from 1 species